rnacentral:rRNA from 1 species
GGUGAACGCUGGCGGUGGGCCUAACACAUGCAAGUCGAACGGCAACACAGGGAAGCUUGCCCUCUGGGUGGCGAGGGGGGGACGGGUGUGAAAUACAUCUGAACCUGCCCAGACGCGGGGGUAAACGUGGGGAAACGGACGCUAAUACCGCAUACAACCUUCAGCGGAAGGAGGGAGAUCGAAAGACCGCUCUCGUUUGAAUGAGCCGAUGUCGGAUUAGCUAGUUGGCAGGGUAAUGGCUCACCAAGGCAACGAUCCGUAGCUGGUCUGAGAGGGUGAUCGGCCACACUGGAACUGAGACACGGUCCAGACUCCUACGGGAGGCAGCAGUAGGGAAUAUUCCGCAAUGGGCGAAAGCCUGACGGAGCAACGCCGCGUGAGUGAUGAAGGUCUUCGGAUCGUAAAACUCUGUUAUUAGGGAAGAACACAUGUGUAAGUAACUAUGCACGUCUUGACGGUACCUAAUCAGAAAGCCACGGCUAACUACGUG